AAGUAUAAGCAAUUAUACAGCGAAACUGCGAAUGGCUCAUUAAAUCAGUUAUCGUUUAUUUGAUAGUACCUUACUACAUGGAUAACCGUGGUAAUUCUAGAGCUAAUACAUGCUAAAAAGCCCGACUUCGGAAGGGUUGUAUUUAUUAGAUUAAAAACCAAUGCCCUUCGGGGCUCCCUGGUGAUUCAUAAUAACUUCUCGAAUCGCACGGCCUUGCGCCGGCGAUGGUUCAUUCAAAUUUCUGCCCUAUCAACUUUCGAUGGCUGGGUCUUGGCCAGCCAUGGUAGCAACGGGUAACGGAGGGUUAGGGCUCGACCCCGGAGAAGGAGCCUGAGAAACGGCUACUACAUCCAAGGAAGGCAGCAGGCGCGCAAAUUACCCAAUCCCGAUACGGGGAGGUAGUGACAAUAAAUACUGAUACAGGGCUCUUUUGGGUCUUGUAAUUGGAAUGAGUACAAUUUAAAUCCCUUAACGAGGAACAAUUGGAGGGCAAGUCUGGUGCCAGCAGCCAAU
rnacentral:rRNA from 1 species